rnacentral:rRNA from 1 species
GCUUACGGCCAUACCACCCUGGAGCGCGCCCGGGAUAGUCGUCUGAUCUCGGAAGCUAAGCAGGGUCGGGCCUGGUUAGUACUUGGAUGGGAGACCGCCUGGGAAUACCAGGUGCUGUAAGCU